ACUGCGAGGCAGGCAGUGAUGCUGCGGCCGCUUCGCACUGUGGCUCCUGCCGACCGCCAGGCGCUGUUACAGUGGAUGCGAACUAACCGUAAGUCAUUAUAUCGUACUGCAGAAACCAGCUCAACUAUGCAAAACUACCACCAGGACUGGCCGACACCAGGAGGGAUUCCAGAGACCACACUGCAGGGAGCAUACAGAAAGAAAAUUAAGAGAUCAGAUGCAGCAGCAGCCGGAACCCACAGUUCACCUUGGUGCAUUCCUUUAUGAUGAAGACUUAUUGAUUCAUUAUAUGAGAAAGGAAAAAUGAGCAGAAACUACUGUAUGAUGUGCAGCUCACACCAGACAGCAACUUUAGGGUUAUCUUUCCAGUUCAGCAGUGCAACUCUAUGGAGUAGAAUUGAAAGGAGACUUUUCGCCAAUUGCAGGAAAUGGUCAUAAAAAAAUACCUGCUCACUGACAGAAUAAAGUCUCACUCUGUCACCUGGCUGGAGUUUAGUGACACGAUCUUAGCUCCCUGCAACCUCUGCCUCCUGAGUUCAAGUGAUUCUCCUACCUCAGCCUCCUGAGUAGCUGGAAUUACAGAGUAAUUUAUCCCUACUUACAGAGAGAUUGCCCUACGUGUAACAGCUGCAUACAAAAAAGUUAUAAAAUUAUCAUUGGUUUAACAAGGAUAAGUGAAAAACAUUAAAAUUCUCCAACUGAACAAGGUGUGUCUGUUUCAUUGAUUGGCUGACUGUCAAAUCGGAAUCUGAUCUGCCCCAUUGACAAUGCCUUGGGCUUUUCCUCGGCCAUGGCAAAUGCCAGAGUCUUCUCAGCUGCCGCUUCACAAAAGAGGUACCAGCUUCUCACUGAACGAACACAGUGCAGCACCAGGAGUGACAGAAGAAGGAGGCGGCAGCGGUGGUUGAGGGACAGGGUGCGUGCACGUCCAAGUACAGUUCUUAAAAUGUUGAGGGCAUACAACAUAUGCUCAAUAAAUACCUGAUUUUUAAAAAAGACAAUGACUAUGGAAAACUCUUGAUCAUUAACCCGAAGGGAGAGUCUAGUUUCCAGGAAGCAUUUGUUUGUAUACACUAUUUAACCCAAGGAUACACUCUUUUCUCCGUGGCAGCGUGACUCAUCUUAGUCUCCAAUUUUUGACCUGUGUCCUGCGCCUUGGCUGUUACAGGUGGAGGUGGAAAAGAAAUUGCCAUUGAUGCUGCAAAUAACUUCCUUCACCUUCUAACCUGGAGAUUCAUUGAAGGAAGAAAAAAGGUGACUGUCAGAGUCCCUGCUGGCCAUGCCUCUCAGCCACAGGACCACUGAGCCACUUAAUUCCUCCCCAGGGUCAGAUGUGCCCCAGCACCAGGUUGUUUAUGGAUACCCUAACCACCUUUUCACACUCCUUGAAGUUUAGCUUUAAAUGUUUUAAGAAUUAGCAAAGUGGGCCGGGCACGGUGGUUCAAGCCUGUAAUCCCAGCACUUUGGGUCGCUGAGGUGGGCGGAUCACCUGAAGUCAAGAGUUCCAGACCAGCCUGGCCAACAUGGUAAAACCCCAUCUAUGCAAAAAUACAAAAAUUAGCCGGGCAUGAUGGUGAGUGCCUGUAAUCCCAGCUACUCGGGAGGCUGAGGCAGAAGAAUCACUUGAACCUGGGAGGCAGAGGUUGCAGUGAGCCGAGAUCUCACCAUUGCACUCCAGCCUGGGCAACAGAGCGAGACUCCAUCUCAAACAACAACAACAACAACAAAUUAGCAAAGCUGAUUAUUUGAUCUUGGUGAGUACUGGCUAAUGCUGAAGGUUAUUUCAGAACGUUGACCCUGGCCAGGUGUGGUGGCUCACGCCUGUAAUCCCAGCACUUUGAGAAGCCAAGGCAGGUGGAUCACCUGAGGUCAGGAGUUUGAGACCAGCCUGGCCAACAUGGCGAAACCCCAUCUCUACUAAAUAUACAAAAAUUAGCUGGGCAUGGUGGCGGGCACCUGUAAUCCCGGCUACUUGGGAGGCUGAAGCAGGAGAAUUGCUUGAACCCGGGAGGCAGAAAUCGCA
rnacentral:lncRNA from 1 species